CUACGGGACGCUGCAGUGGGGAAUAUUGGACAAUGGGGGAAACCCUGAUCCAGCAAUGCCGCGUGUGUGAAGAAGGCCUGCGGGUUGUAAAGCACUUUCGGUUGGGAGGACUGCUUCUAGCACUAAUAUUGUUGGAAGUUGACGUUACCUUCAGAAGAAGCACCGGCUAGCUCUGUGCCAGCAGCCGCGGUAAUACGGAGGGUGCAAGCAUUAAUCGGAAUUACUGGGCGUAAAGCGCGCGUAGGCGGCUAGAUCAGUCGGGUGUGAAAGCCCCGGGCUUAACCUGGGAACUGCAUCCGAUACUGUCUAGCUUGAGUACAGGAGAGGAGAGUGGAAUUCCACAUGUAGCGGUGAAAUGCGUAGAUAUGUGGAGGAACACCAAUGGCGAAGGCAGCUCUCUGGCCUGAUACUGACGCUGAGGUGCGAAAGCGUGGGGAGCAAACAGGAUUAGAUACCCCAGUAGUC
rnacentral:rRNA from 1 species